rnacentral:rRNA from 1 species
UACGUAGGGUGCGAGCGUUGUCCGGAAUUAUUGGGCGUAAAGAGCUCGUAGGCGGUUUGUCGCGUCUGCUGUGAAAACUCGGGGCUUAACCCCGGGCCUGCUUCCGAUACGGGCAGACUAGAGGUAUGCAGGGGAGAACGGAAUUCCUGGUGUAGCGGUGAAAUGCGCAGAUAUCAGGAGGAACACCGGUGGCGAAGGCGGUUCUCUGGGCAUUACCUGACGCUGAGGAGCGAAAGUGUGGGGAGCGAACAGG